rnacentral:rRNA from 1 species
ACAAUGGAGAGUUUGAUCCUGGCUCAGGAUGAACGCUAGCGGCAGGCUUAACACAUGCAAGUCGAGGGGUAGAAUGUCUUCGGAUGUUUGAGACCGGCGAACGGGUGCGUAACACGUAUGCAACCUACCUUUUACUGGGAGAUAGCCCGGAGAAAUCCGGAUUAAUAUCCCAUAUGCUCGUACGAUCUCCUGAUCGAGCGAGGAAAGCUCCGGCGGUAAAAGAUGGGCAUGCGUCCCAUUAGCUAGUUGGUGAGGUAAUGGCUCACCAAGGCUACGAUGGGUAGGGGGCCUGAGAGGGUGACCCCCCACACUGGUACUGAGACACGGACCAGACUCCUACGGGAGGCAGCAGUGAGGAAUAUUGGACAAUGGGCGAGAGUCUGAUCCAGCCAUGCCGCGUGCAGGAAGACUGCCCUAUGGGUUGUAAACUGCUUUUAUACAGGAAGAAACACACCUACGUGUAGGUGCUUGACGGUACUGUAAGAAUAAGCACCGGCUAACUCCGUGCCAGCAGCCGCGGUAAUACGGAGGGUGCAAGCGUUAUCCGGA